AAAGAGGGGGACCUUCGGGCCUCUCGCGUCAGGAUAUGCCCAGGUGGGAUUAGCUAGUUGGUGAGGUAAGGGCUCACCAAGGCGACGAUCCCUAGCUGGUCUGAGAGGAUGAUCAGCCACACUGGAACUGAGACACGGUCCAGACUCCUACGGGAGGCAGCAGUGGGGAAUAUUGCACAAUGGGCGCAAGCCUGAUGCAGCCAUGCCGCGUGUGUGAAGAAGGCCUUCGGGUUGUAAAGCACUUUCAGUCGUGAGGAAGGUGGUAGUGUUAAUAGCACUAUCAUUUGACGUUAGCGACAGAAGAAGCACCGGCUAACUCCGUGCCAGCAGCCGCGGUAAUACGGAGGGUGCGAGCGUUAAUCGGAAUUACUGGGCGUAAAGCGCAUGCAGGUGGUUUGUUAAGUCAGAUGUGAAAGCCCGGGGCUCAACCUCGGAACUGCAUUUGAAACUGGCAGACUAGAGUACUGUAGAGGGGGGUAGAAUUUCAGGUGUAGCGGUGAAAUGCGUAGAGAUCUGAAGGAAUACCGGUGGCGAAGGCGGCCCCCUGGACAGAUACUGACACUCAGAUGCGAAAGCGUGGGGAGCAAACAGGAUUAGAUACCCUGGUAGUCCACGCUGUAAACGAUGUCUACUUGGAGGUUGUGGCCUUGAGCCGUGGCUUUCGGAGCUAACGCGUUAAGUAGACCGCCUGGGGAGUACGGUCGCAAGAUUAAAACUCAAAUGAAUUGACGGGGGCCCGCACAAGCGGUGGAGCAUGUGGUUUAAUUCGAUGCAACGCGAAGAACCUUACCUACUCUUGACAUCCAGAGAAUCUAGCGGAGACGCUGGAGUGCCUUCGGGAACUCUGAGACAGGUGCUGCAUGGCUGUCGUCAGCUCGUGUUGUGAAAUGUUGGGUUAAGUCCCGCAACGAGCGCAACCCUUAUCCUUGUUUGCCAGCGAGUAAUGUCGGGAACUCCAGGGAGACUGCCGGUGAUAAACCGGAGGAAGGUGGGGACGACGUCAAGUCAUCAUGGCCCUUACGAGUAGGGCUACACACGUGCUACAAUGGCGCAUACAGAGGGCGGCCAACUUGCGAAAGUGAGCGAAUCCCAAAAAGUGCGUCGUAGUCCGGAUUGGAGUCUGCAACUCGACUCCAUGAAGUCGGAAUCGCUAGUAAUCGUGGAUCAGAAUGCCACGGUGAAUACGUUCCCGGGCCUUGUACACACCGCCCGUCACACCAUGGGAGUGGGCUGCAAAAGAAGUGGGUAGUUUAACCUUCGGGAGGACGCUCACCACUUUGUGGUUCAUGACUGGGGUGAAGUCGUAACAAGGUAGCGCUAGGGGAACCUGGCGCUGGAUCACCUCCUUAUACGAUGAU
rnacentral:rRNA from 1 species